rnacentral:rRNA from 1 species
AGUCGAGCGCACUCUUUUAGAGUGAGCGGCAAACGGGUGAGUAACGCGUGGGAAUCUACCCCUCUCUACGGAAUAACACAGAGAAAUUUGUGCUAAUACCGUAUACGUCCUAUUGGAGAAAGAUUUAUCGGAGAUGGAUGAGCCCGCGUUGGAUUAGCUAGUUGGUGAGGUAACGGCUCACCAAGGCGACGAUCCAUAGCUGGUCUGAGAGGAUGAUCAGCCACACUGGGACUGAGACACGGCCCAGACUCCUACGGGAGGCAGCAGUGGGGAAUAUUGGACAAUGGGGGCAACCCUGAUCCAGCCAUGCCGCGUGA